rnacentral:rRNA from 1 species
AUUGAACGCUGGCGGCAGGCUUAACACAUGCAAGUCGAACGAGUGGCGGACGGGUGAGUAAUGCUUGGGAAUCUAGCUUAUGGAGGGGGCUAACUACGGGAACCUGUAGCUACUACCGCUUACCAUCGGAUGGACCCUUAUGGGAUUAGCUAGUGGGUGGGGUAAAGGCUCACCUUGGCGACGAUCUCUAGCUGGUCUGAGAGGAUGAUCAGCCACACUGGGACUGAGACACGGCCCAGACUCCUACGGGAGGCAGCAGUGGGGAAUAUUGCACAAUGGGCGAAAGCCUGAUGCAGCCAUGCCGCGUGUAUGAAGAAGGCCUUAGGGUUGUAAAGUACUGUCAGCGGGGAGGCGUUACCCGAAGAAGAAGCACCGGCUAACUCCGUGCCAGCCGCCGCGGUAAUUC